rnacentral:rRNA from 1 species
GUAACUGUUCACAGUUUGGGACGGUUUUUUACCAGAAAGGAACGGCUUAAAUACGUGCCAGCAGCCGCGGUAAUACGUAUGUUUCCAAGCGUUAUCCCGAAUUUAUUGGGCGUAAAGCGAAGCGCAGAACGGUUGUUUUAAGUCUGAAGUGAAAGCCCCACAGCUUUAACUGUGGAAGUGCUUUGGAAACUGGAUAACUUUGAGUGCAGUAGAGGAGAGUGGAAACUCCCAUGUGUAGCGGUGAAAUGCGUAGAUAUAUGGAAGAACACCAGUGGCGAAGGCGGCUCUCUGGACUGUAACUGACGUUGAGGCUCGAAAGUGUGGGUAGCAAACAGGAUUAGAUACCCUGGUAGUCCACACCGUAAACGAUGAGUGCUAGAUGUUUGAGGGUUUCCGCCCUUAAGUGUCGCAGCUAACGCAUUAAGCACUCCGCCUGGGGAGUACGACCGCAAGGUUGAAACUCAAAGGAAUUGACGGGGACCCGCACAAGCGGUGGAGCAUGUGGUUUAAUUCGAAGCAACGCGAAGAACCUUACCAGCUCUUGACAUCCUUUGACCACUUCAGAGAUGAAGGCUUUCCCUUCGGGGACAAAGUGACAGGUGGUGCAUGGUUGUCGUCAGCUCGUGUCGUGAGAUGUUGGGUUAAGUCCCGCAACGAGCGCAACCCUUAUUACUAGUUGCCAGCAUUUAGUUGGGCACUCUAGUGAGACUGCCGGUGACAAACCGGAGGAAGGUGGGGGUGACGUCAAAUCAUCAUGCCCCUUAUGAGCUGGGCUACACACGUGCUACAAUGGCAAGUACAACGAGCAGCUAACCCGCGAGGGUACGCGAAUCUCUUAAAACUUGUCUCAGUUCGGAUUGUAGGCUGCAACUCGCCUACAUGAAGUCGGAAUCGCUAGUAAUCGCAGAUCAGCACGCCGCGGUGAAUACGUUCCCGGGCCUUGUACACACCGCCC